AUUUCAACGUCUCGUUUCAGUAUAGACCCGAUAUAGCCGGGCUGUGCCUAGCCCACUUCUAGCCCAAUUAAACUUUAAUUUGGUUACAUGUGGUUUUUGACAAAAUAAUUUGUGAGAUGGAUGCUAUUUUAUCAUGUAAGCAAAGUUAACAGCGAUUACAAGGUAUUUCUUUUCAUUUCUUUAAAGUGUUUUAUGCAUCGUCUGUACGUAGUCAUAAUUUAGCUCAUAAAUAGACCGACUACGAAUAAACCACGUUUAGCCCAGAAAUAACCAUGAAUUUAAUUACAUGUUGUUUUGCCAAAAUUAUUUGUGAGAUGUAUGAUAUUUAAUAAUGUAAACAAAGUUCAAAGCAAUUAAGGUAUUUUGUUCCAUUUCUUUAAAGUGUUUUAUGCACCGUCUGUACUUAGCCACUAUUUAGCUUACAAAUAGACCGACUACGAAUAACCCACGUUUAGCCCAGAAAUAACCAUUAAUUUAAUUACAUGUUGUUUUGCCAAAAUGAUUUGUGAGAUGUAUGAUAUUUAAUCAUGUAAACAAAGUUCAAAGCGAUAAGGUAUUUUGUUUCAUUUCUUUAAAGUGUUUUAUACACCGUCUGUACUAGCCACUAUUUAGCUCACAAAUAGACCGACUACGAAUAACCCACGUUUAGCUCAGAAAUAACCAUUAAUUUAAUUACAUGUGGUUUUUGCCAAAAUAACUUGUAUGGUAUGUCAUUGUAAGCAAAGUUAACAGCGAUUACAAGGUUUGUUUAAUUUCUUUAAAGUGUUUUAUGCACCGUCGUACAUAUAGCCACUAUUUAGCUCAUAAAUAGACCGACUACGAACAAACCAUGUUUAGCCCAAAAUAACCUUGAAUUUAAUAAAAUUUUGUUUUUGCCAAAAUAACUUGCAAAAAUUAUGAUAUUUUAUCAGGCAUGCAAAGACACCAGUGAAUUUAAGAUGUUUGGUUUUAUUUAUCUUAUCUGAAUAUCUGCUGUCACGCAUAACAUUCAUUAUUUGACCGUAUUUCAAAGAUAAACAAAAUCCAGUUACAACUCCGAACCGCUAGAUGGCAGCAGUACACAAACACGGGGCCAAAUCUCACGAGAAAGAUUUCCGCUGUUUGAAAAGCAACAACAUCAGCGAGCAGCCACGAGGAAAGCAUGUACCACACUUGUUUGGUCUUGUGUCAAAGCUCUGCGAAACUGGAGGGAGAAACUUGAGAGACCGUGCCGGAAGAAUGCUGGACAGAGUUCACUAAAAUUCAUUAAUUUCAAAGUUCAACAUUAAUGGUGGUGGUCCACUGCAGAAGCAAGCAUUUGAAAAAACAUCUCUUCUCAGUUA